AUAUAUAUUCAAGGGAUUACAGCACUGACGCUACUCUUGAUCGAGUGUUCACGCUGUGUAUUACUCUAAAAUCGUUACUUGUACGAUCCGGCAUAGAUCGACCGUUUAACACAUAUCUUAUCAGAAAUAUUUGAUUUAUAAAUCAGCGGUCGACAUGUCUGACUAUUUUGUAGCUAACUAUCUGGACGAUAUCGACAUGUACAGCGUAGAACAACACAAGUACAUCCAUAAUGGCCACAGUGGUAAGGGACGGAGUAAGAGGGAGGCCAGUCUUCACACCAACGUCCACGACCCCACCGGACAUACCCGUAAAGCUGUCCAGAAACUGAUCAACAACAAACUAAAGCAGAGGUCAAAGAACUGAUACGUCGGGUUUUAUAACUCCGGAUUUCCCCAUUGAAUGGAUAUUGACCGACAGAAUGAUGAAAGGACUACUGACCAAUGGCGAUACACUGACGGCAGAACGGACCAAUCAAGACGACGGUGAUAUAUCUUUAUUCACCAGUAAAAUCGUCUGAUACUGGACAGAAAAAAUGGAAAGGGACCAACGAGAAAGCAAAUUGAAUGUCAUUUAGCAAAUUGAAGGCAAACUAAAGUUUUGUGUUUGAAUAAGAUUAGUAAGCAUGGCCAUCUAUGGCAAGGUAUAUAGAAUGUGUUUUGUAUUUUUUGUAACUUAUUUUGUACGAAAAGUUUGUAAUAAAUACAUAAGUUGUCAC